UGGUGCCAGGCCUCCGCGGUAAUACGUAGGUGGCAAGCGUUGUCCGGAUUUAUUGGGCGUAAAGCGCGCGCAGGCGGUCUUUUAAGUCUGAUGUGAAAGCCCCCGGCUUACCGGGGAGGGUCAUUGGAAACUGGAAGACUGGAGUGCAGAAGAGGAGAGUGGAAUUCCACGUGUAGCGGUGAAAUGCGUAGAUAUGUGGAGGAACACCAGUGGCGAAGGCGACUCUCUGGUCUGUAACUGACGCUGAGGCGCGAAAGGCUGGACG
rnacentral:rRNA from 1 species